UACUUCCCCCUUAGGCGGAGGGAAGAAUAUAGGGAAGCUUGGUUAAUAUCAGAGUUAAAGGGAAUGGUUGUCGGAGGCAGAGGUUCUGAAGUUCACGACUCCUAGAAGGGGAGGGGAAUGAAAGGCUCUCAGUGAAGAAGCUGUCUCGUGUCUUCUUCCAGCAUGACAGUUUGACUGAACAGGACAGCCUCAUCAGAACUGUGUACAGAAUUGUGAGACCAGCAUUCACACAAGAGACCCAUGUACAUAUCCUUCAUUUUAUUUGACAAAUACUUAUGUAACCAGGCAGGUAUCCUUCUAAGAGUUUGUGAAUAUAAACUCAUUUAAGCCAUGAGCACAGUACCUGGCACACACUAGGCACUAAACAAAUAGUUAUUGAAUGAAGAAUGAAGAGAACAAAAGGCAUUAAAUUCUUAGAUGACACCAAACGAAGGAGUAGGAAUGGCGAAAGUGGUCUGGAACCGAACCUGCAGUAUCUCAGAGGUCUGCCUGUGACUUAAAAGAAUUUUAUCUUUUCAACAGAUGAAUUUAAGACCCACUGAAAUCCAUUAUUUGGAAAAUAUUUAAACAAAUAAAAAAUUGUUUCCAAAAUUUUUAAGCGUGCAUAUAUUAGUUUUAAUAGGACACAUGCACUGUUUUUUGCAACAAAAUUACAUUUUUCCAAAUGCUUUUAAGCCCAAGCAUCUUGAAUACUAUGAUAGAAGAUAAAGAGUUUCCACAAUGACUCCCCAUCUCA